GAUGAACGCUGGCGGCGUGCCUAAUACAUGCAAGUCGAGCGAACAGACGAGGAGCUUGCUCCUCUGACGUUAGCGGCGGACGGGUGAGUAACACGUGGAUAACCUACCUAUAAGACUGGGAUAACUUCGGGAAACCGGAGCUAAUACCGGAUAAUAUCUUGAACCGCAUGGUUCAAUAGUGAAAGACGGUUUUGCUGUCACUUAUAGCUGGAUCCGCGCCGCAUUAGCUAGUUGGUAAGGUAACGGCUUACCAAGGCAACGAUGCGUAGCCGACCUGAGAGGGUGAUAGGCCACACUGGAACUGAGACACGGUCCAGACUCCUACGGGAGGCAGCAGUAGGGAAUCUUCCGCAAUGGGCGAAAGCCUGACGGAGCAACGCCGCGUGAGUGAUGAAGGUCUUCGGAUCGUAAAACUCUGUUAUUAGGGAAGAACAAAUGUGUAAGGAAAUAUGCACGUAUUGACGGUACCUAAUCAGAAAGCCACGGCUAACUACGUG
rnacentral:rRNA from 1 species